GACGAACGCUGGCGGCGUGGAUUAGGCAUGCAAGUCGAACGGUAUCAUCCUUUCGGGGGUGAGAGAGUGGCGAACUGGUGAGUAACACGUAGGUUAUCUACCCUCAAGACGGGGACAACCCAGGGAAACUUGGGCUAAUACCGGAUGUGAGCAACUUUUAGUUGUUUGAAAGGUGGCGUAAGCUGUCGCUUGGGGAUGAGCCUGCGUCCUAUUAGUUAGUUGGUGAGGUAACGGCUCACCUAGGCAAUGAUAGGUAGGCGGCCUUAACGGGUGGUCGCCCACACUGGGAUUGAGAUACGGCCCAGACUCCUACGGGAGGCAGCAGUCGAGAAUAGUCUACAAUGGUCGGAAGACUGAUAGUGCGACGCCGCGUGAACGAUGAAUCCCUUCGGGGUGUAAAGUUCUUUUAUAUGUGAGCAGUGCUUUCUUAUAUUAACAGUAUGGGGAAGAGAUAUUAGCAUAUGAAUAAGCAACGGCUAACUCCGUGCCCAGCAGCCCGCGGUAAGA
rnacentral:rRNA from 1 species